rnacentral:snoRNA from 1 species
AAUCCAUGGUGAGGGCAAUCACGUUCAUACUCCUUAAAACGUUCCCAAGCUUCAUAGAAAGAUUCAGGUUGCCCUUGUUGAAAGGUUGAGAUCUUCGUUCUCAAAUU